AGUAUCGCGCCUCGUAGUGCUUCGCAACGUGUCGCGACUGGACACGCGAUGGAGUGCGUCAGUGCGACGGUGGCCUCGACGUCACGUAACUACUAUUGGAAAAGAGCAAUGGGCGGGCGAUGUUCGCGAGCCAGGCGUCGUGUUGCAGUGCGAGCCUUCGAGAGGGGACUUGCGAGCGUGUACCAAGACUUUCGUAGAAGUUUCCGUGUACGCGGACUGUUGGGGCUUGUACCACG
rnacentral:misc_RNA from 1 species